GACAGAGGUGCCAAGCGUUAGGCGGAAUCACUGGGCUUAAAGCGUGUGUAGGCGGAUCGUUAAGUGCCUUGUGAAAUCCCACGGCUUAACCGUGGAACUGCUCGGCAUACUGGCGGUCUUGAGCCAUCUAGGGCUACGGAACAAAUGGUGGAGCGGUGAAAUGCGUAGAUAUCAUUUGGAACGCCAAUGGUGAAAACAGGUAGCUGGGGAUGUGCUGACGCUGAGACACGAAAGCCAGGGGAGCGAACGGG
rnacentral:rRNA from 1 species